AUACGGAGGGUGCAAGCGUUAAUCGGAAUUACUGGGCGUAAAGCGUACGUAGGCGGUUAAGUCAGUCAGAUGUGAAAGCCCUGGGCUCAACCUGGGAACUGCAUUUGAUACUGCUUGGCUAGAAUAGGGUAGAGGGAAGUGGAAUUCCGGGUGUAGCGGUGAAAUGCGUAGAUAUCCGGAGGAACACCAGUGGCGAAGGCGGCUUCCUGGACCAAUAUUGACGCUGAGGUACGAAAGCGUGGGUAGCAAACAGGAUUAGAAACCCCGGUAGUCC
rnacentral:rRNA from 1 species